GUCCAUCCAUUGCUGGGCACUCUGUCCAUCCUGCGCGCAGAAGUUAUACACACGUUUGCUGGUCUUGAGCUACAAAACCAAAUGACAGAGAACCAGAGAUGAAGGGCAGGGCUGUUUUAUAUAUUUGGGAGUCUGCUGCUAAGAUUUCAGCACGUCCUAUGGCUGAGUUAAUCAGAGUUAUGAUAGGAAGGUACCUGGCACACCAUCGCAGUGCUCCAUCAAUGCUAGUACGUUGUGUUGUUUCCUUCACAUCAAGUCAACUCAAGCUUGCUCUUACUUACCUGGUGUACACAGUCUAAGAACUGUAAGAAGACUGGAGCAAAACCACUCCCCUGACAGUUGAGGGUCAAGCUGCUCCGCUGACUGAAUUUGUGACCAAAAGAGAGCCACUCUUUUUCAACCAACAUCCGGAAGCCUUCAAGUGUCCUAUAAAAGGGAUCACUGAGUAACUGAACCAGGGAUGUCACCUAGGGCACAAACAGGAUGGAUUGUUAUUAAUUUUAGUUCUGAAAAAGUCCUAUUACUAAGAUAAAAGCACUUCCUUCUGAUAAUAGCUAAUUCACAAAUUUACCUGGACAGCAAAUUUGUUUACUAACCAUUCCAGGAUGGCCAAUAAAAUGAAUUCUGUAAGCUUUCCAGUAAAAACUAAAGCUCAAAUUCAUUUUGGCUACAAGUUUACUUUCAGGGAAUUAAGCCUUUAAUCCUUAACUGGUCAGUUUGCUGACAACAACCUUUUCCUAAGUUAAUCAGAGGCCAGAGGAUCAGUUAAAAUCAAUUCUACUUUUUGGCAGAUGCAGAUUAAUGUCUUAAUGUAGUCUGAACUCACUUUUCACUCUGGAGUGGGUUAAGGUGGGGCUUACAGAGAGCCAGGGGAUGGACUGACAAAACCCAGAAAGGAUGGUCCAUGCCUCACACUGCUGGUCAAGGGCUCCAUCCACAAGCCUGCAUGGUAAAUCUGUGGGUGGGAGAGCCUGAUGCCUGGAGCCAGAGCUCCAGGCUGCGUAGGGGCUAAGAGCUCAUGGUACAGAGUUUUCUGAUGGAUAACAGGUGGUGUUUAACACAGGACUUUCUCUGUCCAUAAACACAUUAGUCAUUAUACAAAACAUUCAUCUGAAGAAUUUAAAAACCACCAAAUGGAAAUAUAAAUAUAAAAU